AAGCUGUCAAAUUUCAUAUAGGGCGAUUGUAAGUAAUUGCGACCACCUUUUUUACAAGAAAAAACCAGCAAUAAUUACUAAUUAUGAACACCCUAUAUCAAAGAAAUAUGAUCUCAUUGAAUACAAUCCAAUUAGAUUUUUACCCGAGAAGUAGAUGGGCAUAUGCUAUCGGGAGCAUUUGGCUUACGAGAGAGAAAGGAGGGGGAGAAAGAAAGCCCCCUCGGAGGUCGGGGGGAGGGACUAUUUU
rnacentral:lncRNA from 1 species